rnacentral:lncRNA from 1 species
AUGACUAAACUAUAGUAUCUAAGGAUAAGCACUGAGUGAUAAAAUUAUUAAAAUAUUCAAAAAAGUGAUUACCAUAAAAGUCAGGAUACUGGUAUGUUAUCAUAAUGGUUAUUUAAAGUGGGAAGUCGGUCGGGCACAGUGGCUCAAGCCUGUAAUCCCAGCACCUUGGGAGGCCAAUGCAGGCAGGUCACUUGAGCUCAGGAAUUCGAGACCAGCCUGGCCAACGUGGUGAAACCCCGGCUGCACUAAAAAUAGAAAAAUUAGCUGGGCAUAGUUUCAUGCACCUUUAGUCCCAGCUACUCAGGCUGAGGCAGAAGAACUGCUUGAACCUGGGAGGCAGAAAUUGCAGUGAGCCGAGAGCCACUCCACUCCAACCUGGGCAACAGAGCAAGACUCCGUCUCCAGAAAAAAAAGAGAGAGAAGGGGGUUAGGAUUGGAAUGGGACACACAAAAAGGACUUCUAAGGUAAGGAGCUGGUUGAAUUCAAGCAUGCAAAACCCAUGGGUAUAGAAGGCCAACUGUAAUAAUUUUGUCUGCUCCAUGAAGAAUAACGAAUAGACUCAAAGGGAUAAUCAAAGAAGCAGCAAGACCACUUAGGAAGCUCCUGCAAUCAUCCAGGAGAUUAUUUUAAACUUGAUGGAUCAAUCCUCUUAAGGAUAACGAAUUUGGAUUUGCAAGAAUUCAAGGCAAUUCCGGGUAACAUUUUUUUCUUCACUUCAAAAUUAUAAAAUUUAAAGAUCUCAUAAAAUCAACAGAGUAUGAGAAGAAUAAUUAAAUAUGAGCCAUAAUUAUUUGGACUUUUUGGUUAGUUUCAGUUGGUCACAUACAUGAUUUUAUCAUGUUGUAUAUCUGCGUGUAUCAGUUAGGUUCACAAGAUAAACUCUAGGGCCAAAUACUUAAUGCCCUUUCAUAUUGGAAAUGCUUCUAUUAAAGAUACAUAAGACAGGCUGGGCAUGGUGGCUCACGCCUGUAAUCUCAGCACUUUGGGAGGCUGAGACGGGCAGAUCACUUGACAUCAGAAGUUUGAGAACAGCCUGGCCAACAUUGUGAAACCCCGUCUCUACUAAAUAUACAGAAAAUUAGCCAGACGUGGUGGCGCAUGCCUGUAAUCUCAGCCACUUGGGAGGCUGAGACAGGAGAAUCGCUUGAACCCAGGAGGUGGAGGUUGCAGUGAGCCUGUAAUAAGGGUUAAAAAGAAAAAAAAAAAAGUUUUCCUCUGCUUAGCAGCUCAAUUCAAGAACAGUUAUAACACUGUCCAAAAAGCCAAGGACAGAGGAAUGGGCUCCAGACACCCCCGCCCCCUCCAGAGCAAGGUUAAGGAAAAAAAAAAGAGAGAGAAAGACAAAUUCCUUUAUUGUUACUCCUUUCCCUUGCCUCUUAAGCAUAACGGUGUUUUACAAAUGCCUGUAUUUAGCCAAUUCUUGUUUUUCUUUUGACACAGCUAAAAGGCCACCAGCUAUGCAAGGCCACAAGUUAUGCACUAUAUGAUUAACUACCUUUGUUUUGCUCUUAUGAGCCCACUUAUAAAAACCUCGCUCUGUCUUUAUUCAAGGCCCAGCUUUUUGGAGGUAAAUCCACUGAGCCGGUGUGUACCUCACAAUAAAUAUCCUCCUGUAUUCACGCAUACUGGUCUCUCUAAUCCUCUGCGUCCCGCAACAAGCUGAGAGCGCGCCACUGCACUUGCAGUCUUGCACAUAGCAAGACUAUGUCUCAACAACAACAAAAAAGGUCACCAUACUGGCAGCUUACCAGAUUGAAGAUGCCAGUAAUAUGUUAGUGUGGUUUGCAAGAAACUUC